CUACGGGGUUGUGGGGCGUUUCAUAUAGGAGUUACAAAAGACAGAUGUAGGUGAACAGUUUGGGAAGACUGACCAAAGAGCGUGAUAGUCGCGUAACCCAAACAUCUGUCUCUCCGAGACCAACCCCGAGUAGCGCGGGACACGUGAAAUCCCGUGUGAAUCUGGCAGGACCAUCUGCUAAGGCUAAAUACUACCUAACGACCGAUAGUGAACCAGUACCGUGAGGGAAAGGUGAAAAGCACCCCGGGAGGGGAGUGAAAUAGUACCUGAAACCGUGUGCUUACAAAUAGUCGGAGCACUUUCUAUGUGUGACGGCGUGCCUUUUGUAGAAUGAACCGGCGAGUUACGAUAGCGUGCGAGGUUAAGUCGAAGAGACGGAGCCGCAGCGAAAGCGAGUCUGAAUAGGGCGAAAGUACGUUGUCGUAGACCCGAAACCGUGUGAUCUAGCCAUGUCCAGGGUGAAGGUAGGGUAACACCUACUGGAGGCCCGAACCCACGCACGUUGAAAAGUGCGGGGAUGAGGUGUGGCUAGCGGUGAAAUUCCAAUCGAACUCGGAGAUAGCUGGUUCUCCCCGAAAUAGCUUUAGGGCUAGCCUCGGAUUUAGAGUCUUGGAGGUAGAGCACUGAUUGGACUAGGGGCCCUCAUCGGGUUACCGAAUUCAGUCAAACUCCGAAUGCCAAGUACUUAUAUCCGGGAGUCAGACGGUGAGUGCUAAGAUCCAUCGUCAAAAGGGAAACAGCCCAGACCAUCAGCUAAGGCCCCCAAGUGUAUGUUAAGUGGGAAACGAUGUGGAGUUGCCCAGACAACCAGGAUGUUGGCUUAGAAGCAGCCACCAUUUAAAGAGUGCGUAAUAGCUCACUGGUCGAGUGACUCUGCGCGGAAAAUGUAACGGGGCUAAACAUACCGCCGAAGCUAUGGCAGUCCUUAUGGACUGGGUAGGGGAGCGUUCCAAGCAGCAGUGAAGCCGUAUCGUGAGGAGCGGUGGAGCGCUUGGAAGUGAGAAUGCCGGUGUAAGUAGCGAAAAGACAAGUGAGAAUCUUGUCCACCGAAAGCCUAAGGUUUCCUGGGGAAGGCUCGUCCUCCCAGGGUUAGUCGGGACCUAAGCUGAGGCCGAAAGGCGUAGGCGAUGGACAACUGGUUGAUAUUCCAGUACCACCUCUGUUCCG
rnacentral:rRNA from 1 species